AUAAACAGAAGAGGUGCGAUGCUUAGGUAUUUAGCGGUAGGUGACGAAAGCCUGUGACUGCUUUAGAGGGAAGUACUCGCCGAGGAAAGUUGUAGUACGUCGCUGUGACUUUUCGGUUUACGAGGCUGAAUCCUCGGAACUGUCACCGUUUUAAUGGUGGAGAGCUUCUGGCAAA
rnacentral:ncRNA from 2 species